UGUUCUAUGGCCGAAUUGGUAAAGGCAUUGCCGAUCACCGGCAAGGUUGCGGGUUCGAGUCCCGCUGGAACGG
rfam:Operophtera brumata OBRT01_Sc03129, whole genome shotgun sequence.